GAUGAACGCUAGCUACAGGCUUAACACAUGCAAGUCGAGGGGCAUCAGGAUGUAGCAAUACAUUGCUGGCGACCGGCGCACGGGUGAGUAACACGUAUCCAACCUGCCUUUUACUCGGGGAUAGGCUUUCGAAAGAAAGAUUAAUACCCGAUGGUAUAAUAUUUCCGCAUGGGAUUAUUAUUAAAGAAUUUCGGUAAAAGAUGGGGAUGCGUUCCAUUAGGCAGUUGACGGGGUAACGGCCCACCAAACCUUCGAUGGAUAGGGGUUCUGAGAGGAAGGUCCCCCACAUUGGAACUGAGACACGGUCCAAACUCCUACGGGAGGCAGCAGUGAGGAAUAUUGGUCAAUGGGCGAGAGCCUGAACCAGCCAAGUAGCGUGAAGGAUGACUGCCCUAUGGGUUGUAAACUUCUUUUAUAGGGGAAUAAAGUGAGCCACGUGUGGCUUUUUGUAUGUACCCUAUGAAUAAGGAUCGGCUAACUCCGUGCCAGCAGCCGCGGUAAUACGGAGGAUCCGAGCGUUAUCCGGAUUUAUUGGGUUUAAAGGGAGCGUAGGUGGACAUGUAAGUCAGUUGUGAAAGUUUGCGGCUCAACCGUAAAAUUGCAGUUGAUACUGUGUGUCUUGAGUACAGUAGAGGUGGGCGGAAUUCGUGGUGUAGCGGUGAAAUGCUUAGAUAUCACGAAGAACUCCGAUUGCGAAGGCAGCUCACUGGACUGUUACUGACACUGAGGCUCGAAAGUGUGGGUAUCAAACAGG
rnacentral:rRNA from 1 species